rnacentral:rRNA from 1 species
GACAGAGGGUGCAAACGUUGUUCGGAAUUACUGGGCGUAAAGCGUGUGUAGGCGGUCCACUAAGUCGGGUGUGAAAGCCCUGGGCUCAACCCAGGAAGUGCACUCGAAACUGGCAGGCUAGAGUAUCGGAGAGGUUGGUGGAAUUCUCGGUGUAGAGGUGAAAUUCGUAGAUAUCGAGAGGAACACCGGUGGCGAAGGCGGCCAACUGGACGAAUACUGACGCUGAGACACGAAAGCGUGGGGAGCAAACAGG